CAGAAUUUUAUUUUCCCUUUGGGAAGUCGCACAAGAAGUCAUGUUCUAGAUCUGUAACACGGACGGCGCGGAAGCCCGCCCCUUCGCCUGACGCGGUUGUCGGUAGCCCCGCCCCUUGUCGCGUGUAGCUCUUCCGGGAGGCGGGGCCAAACGCUGUGGCCAGAAAACGAAUCUCACCAGGAGAAGACUGGUCAGGGUUGAGUUUUCUGCUCAUCUCACGCCUUCAGCUCGUUCUGACAAGAAGGAACAAACAGGACUCGUCCUCAUGGCCUUUGUAAAGGAGUUCUUUUUCCCCUCCCUGGAAACUAAAUAUCUCCUAGAGACGAAAGUGGAACUGAGCCAGCUGGGUGUUCUUGAACCUGAACUCAAACGCAAUCUGCUGUUUGCUAUUUCAGCGAUGGACACGUUGCCGCUCAUGCUGAAGAAAAGCGCAGGACUUCUGGUCGAAGGCAGUCAGAUUCUGAUCAGCAUCACAGCGGGUAACCCCAGUCUGCAUUGCGUCGUGUUUCAGGACCACGAAGGCAUCAGACUUCACCAGACAAUAAAACCGAACAGAGAGUUGCGUCUCGACGACUUCCAUAAGGCUUUUUUCCACGGCCACGACUGUCCUCAUGAUACACCAUGUUGGGAACAGGCUAUGAAUAUCAGAUCCGUCAGCAGUAGACAAUUAGAACUAAAUAUUGUCUGCAAAGAGCUGAGAGUAACCUUCUCCGACCCUGCUCCCGUAGAGGCCAUUGUGGUGCCGACAUCUAAGAAUAUUGCACAAAUCUGAUUUAGAAAAAUAUAUAUAUAUAGAUAUAUAUUAAUAUAUAUUAAUUUCCUCUUUCCUGUUCAAACCUGUGACGCCAUCUGCUGGAAUCUGCCUCUGAAAGAUGAGUGCGCACUUUGAGUGUUGUAGGACGUUUGUUUGUUUAUAUUAUCCGAAGGUCCCUGUUUCUCCCUGCACAGCGGUCUUCCCUUAUUUCUACUGCUUGUCUUCUACAGAAACAUUACACACGACCAUUAAGCCUAAUGUUUUCAAUGUUUUAUUGCCAGUUUUCUAACCGUUUAUAAUCAAAGCCCACUUGUAGUGGAAAUAUGUCUGUUCAGUAGAAUGAGUAUAAUACUAAUACUGUUACUCUGCUAAAAUAAAGAUUCUCAUUAUGUAAUCAGUCUUGAGCUCAGGAUCAGUCCAGGGGUCCUGGAACACAGACUUUCCACUGCACCUUUUUCAUCUGUACACUGAAUUAGGAAUUGAGGAACAGUUCACCUCAGCAAUAACAAGUUCAACAUGGAAAGGAAGUCAACGAGCCCGAUUUGUCCGCUACAGCCAUUGACAUCGGACGGAAGUGGCUGCUUGUGUUCUAAUCCCGCAGGUGACCGGACAUGAUUGUAAAUAUAGUACGCGUGUGUGGAGACGUCUGAGCGAUGGGCUCACACGACACAGCUGGGAGAGUGCUGAUUACUGAGAGUGUGCACCUUGCUCAGUGGUGAGUUCAUCUGUGCUUUGUUUUCAAGAGCAAAUACACGGCGUCAGUGUGAGUGAGCCAGGUUAACAGUGAGUGAUCUGCCUUGGCCAAUGAAAGCUUGCGGUUAUUGCUUCACCUGAGCUGCAAUCAGGUGACAGUACAGCUGUGCAGAGCUGAUGCUCAUACUUUAACAUUUCUGACAGGCAUUCUGAGUGAUUUUUCAACACUUCAGAUGGUGAGGUUAACACACACACUCUCACUCACAUACAUAUUACACUGAUGUACAUCACUGUUUGUUUGUGUAAAGGUGCUGUGUCGCCUCCUGCUGGUCUGGUUAGAGUAUUACACAAUGUAUCUAGCUUUGUACUUUAAUAUACUUUUUAAUCUUGUGUUAAUUCUCAUAGAUUUCCAUAUAAUUCAUUAAGGAUGAUCAAUUAAUCACUAUUUUGAACAUGUAUUAUCUGAUUAAGUGAUACACAAAGAUGUACUACUAUUAUUAUUAUUAUUAACAGGAUCUGUCUUUGAUUAUUGCAGUUUGCUGCUUUAUUGUGAUUAAUUGUGAUUAUUAACUCAGUUAAUCCCUGCAGCACUGGAAUGUAUUUUAGGAAAACACGGAUUGUAUCAGAAGAAAGGUUCCGUUAGGUUCUCUACUACAUCCAGUUCUCAGCUGUGAGGUUCUGGAGCUUCAGGGCUGUAGGUGAAUACGCAAUAAAAAUGACUGAACUGAGAGAACAAAUUCAGAUCUAAAUAAUGAUAAGAAGGAACCACAUGACCACACGGCCUCCACAAUUCUCCAUAUUUUUCAAAAGAUUUUAUAUUCGAAUAUCGUUUUAUUUGUUUUUCCCUCUGUGUCUUCGUGAUUUCAUUUACGGAAUAAUGAUCUCCGUGUGCUAUUUAAAUUACUAAGUAGUGAGAAUAAAAUCACAGGAUAACAAGGAACAAAUAAUUAGGCCUGGCCUCCAAUCAGGGUCUACCUCAUUAGCAUAAAACCAAAGACAUCUGGGACCAGGGAAGCUACCAUGGACUCCUUAAGCAGGAGUCUUUUUAAAGAGACCUGUCUGAGAGAAUGAGGAGAAUGAGGAAGGCGGGGGAGGGUGAGUGACCAGUGUGGGUGAGAGGUUUUUAUACACAGUGUGUACACACCGCCGUCUUCAUACUGCUACAGCGCCACUUUUUAUUCUUAAACCUGCCAAAACACAGAUUAGAACCAGAAGGUUCAGUAACCACAACACUGACACUCACGCUCAUCUAACAUUCCUCGUAUCAGUGUCAGGUCCAGGUUUCUUCUCAUUAGCAUUAUGCACCUGUUCCUUCUGUGGUGUGGUGAUUUAUGAUGACAAAAGCCCACCACACGGGUGUAGUUUCUGUCUCUUGGUGGUGUAGUGGUUACAGUUCAUGCCAAUGAUGGUGUUCCAGAAGGUGUGGGUUCUCUUCCACCUUUUGGCUGGUUUAAGACAAAAAAAAAAAUCCUGCAGCCUCAUGACGUGAUUUGUGAUGACAAAAGUCCAACACACGUGUGUAGCUUCUGUUGCUUGGUGGUGUAGUGGUUAGAGUUCAUGUUUGUGGUGUGUUUUUUCAGGUUCUAAGGCACCUUUUGGCAGGUUCAAGAAUCAAAAGUGGUGCUAUGAAGGUGUGACGGAGGGAGUGGUGUGUAGGCCUCUGUGGCUCAGUUGGCUAAGUCAUCAUGGCUGUGGAGCAGGAGGUGCUUGGAUCAAACCCCAAAUGGAGUACUUGGCUGGAGUUUGGAGGUGGAGUACUGUCUUCUCUUUCUCCCACUCUCUGCUCUUCCCCUCCUGUCUUCUCUUUUACACUCUCAGUAGGUUGUGCACCCACCUCUUCCCACCCCUCUAUGUGCACAUCCUCUUCCCCUAGGUGGGCAUCCUCC
ensembl:lncRNA